rnacentral:rRNA from 1 species
AACGAACGCUGGCGGCAUGCCUAACACAUGCAAGUCGAACGAUGCCUUCGGGCAUAGUGGCGCACGGGUGCGUAACGCGUGGGAAUCUGCCUUUCGGUUCGGAAUAACUCAGGGAAACUUGAGCUAAUACCGGAUAACGUCGCAAGACCAAAGAUUUAUCACCGAAAGAUGAGCCCGCGUAGGAUUAGCUAGUUGGUGAGGUAAAGGCUCACCAAGGCGACGAUCCUUAGCUGGUCUGAGAGGAUGAUCAGCCACACUGGGACUGAGACACGGCCCAGACUCCUACGGGAGGCAGCAGUGGGGAAUAUUGGACAAUGGGCGAAAGACUGAUCCAGCAAUGCCGCGUGAGUGAUGAAGGCCUUAGGGUUGUAAAGCUCUUUUACCCGGGAAGAUAAUGACGGUACCGGGAGAAUAAGCCCCGGCUAACUCCGUG